rnacentral:rRNA from 1 species
UAGGGAGCGGGAGAGGCAGACGGUAUUCAGUGGGUAGGGGUAAAAUCCUCUGAUCCAUUGAGGACCACCAGUGGCGAAGGCGGUCUGCCAGAACGCGUUCGACGGUGAGGGAUGAAAGCUGGGGGAGCAAACCGGAUUAGAUACCCGGGUAGUCCCAGCUGUAAACGAUG